AAAAAUGUGUAAAAUCUCAAGCGUGCUGCCAUGUACAAUUUUGUAUUCCUAGAAAGUAAGCUAUAUUAAUAAAUAUUUUAUUUGUAAUUUUAAGCAAUGUCUAUUUCUUUCUCGCACCCACUCUAUAAUAUAUAUCUCUUUCCUAUAUCCGAGUCAAAAAUUAUACUCGCACCUGUUUUUACCUUAGUUAUCACUAUAUAAUAGCAAAAAGUUCUCUCUCUCGCGCUUACAAAGCAUACUUGACCUAUAAACCUAUUGACCCAUUUACAAAAACUCGUACCUGACCGAGCCGCACCCCCGCUGGGUAAAAACGCUCGGCACUAAGAUCUGCUUUUUCCUAUUCAAAAUCCAGUAGUAUACUCAGGGCAGCCAAUCAAGGCUCGGGGCAGCCAUGGAGUGCCAAUCAAGACUCGGGGCAGCCAUGGGAUAUCCAAUCAUAACCCUCCGUUCAAAAUCGUGACGACACAAACUCAGGCUACCCAUUCAAGGCUCAGGGCAGCCAUGGGGUGCCAAUCAAAACACGUCGUUCAAACUCGUGACGUCACAGCGUCUAGUCUUCCCCACCAGGCCCAGACGGGGGAAGGGGGUUAGGUUUGACACCACUCGGAGGAAGAGUGGAGUUAGGUUUGACAUCAGGCCGAGAAAAAAAGAAGUUCGGGUUUGUUUUGAUGCACCAUGGCUGCCCCAGACAGAGGGGGAAGGGGGCAGACACCCCCCGCUGUGAGGGCGAGGAGUGGGGGUUUGUUUUGACGCCCCAUGGCUUCCCCUAUACUACUACUGGGACAACUCGAGGUCCAUAAUUUGGCAUAGAUUGGAAUUUGUGUUUCAAUUAAAUAUAAGCAAUGUAAAGGAUUGCGAUUCAUUGAAAUUUAACAAGGAGACUAAUCCAUGUUACAAGAUACGUGGAAUUUAGCGCAGCUAUUGCAAGUGUAGUUGAAGGAUUUCCUCGCGAGAGGACAAAAGUGCCUAUAGAUAUAUAUUAUCAACAGAUCUACACAAGAUGUAAGGCCAACUAUACAAACUGAUAGAUUUUGAAUAGACAUGAAACCGUUGCCAGAAAAUACAACGUUUACACAAGUCAUGAAAACUGAAGAUUUUACUUGUAUUGGAAUACAAACUGGAAGACCAUAAUAACAAGACUCCGAUAUAAAUAAAAUAAAAUAGUUGUAUGUAUUUUCUUAAAGUCCAAAUACAAUGAAAGUAUAAUGAAAAUACACUUAUAUACUUUGUUUAUUGACGAAGUAAGAUUUCCGUAAGAAAAUAAUACAAGUACUAAAAUAGAACUAAUAACGCAAAUAUUGUCAAAACUAUAAUUAAACAUUAAACAGAUAAAAUUGCACAAAUAAGUAUUAAUAUAGUACAACGCGAAAUACUUAUCGCCUGUAGUGCAAAUUUUCAGUCGUCAGCAUCAGCAAGGUGAUCUCGUUGAUGCUAGCGGAUGAAAACUUGCACCAUUGCUUAUCACUUACAUUGUAUAAUGCAUACGGUGUAUCACAGCAUCGUAAAUAAUACUGUUGUUUUGUACAAAA